rnacentral:rRNA from 1 species
AUUGAACGCUGGCGGCAGGCCUAACACAUGCAAGUCGAGCGGAUGAAGGGAGCUUGCUCCUGGAUUCAGCGGCGGACGGGUGAGUAAUGCCUAGGAAUCUGCCUGGUAGUGGGGGAUAACGUCCGGAAACGGGCGCUAAUACCGCAUACGUCCUGCGGGAGAAAGUGGGGGAUCUUCGGACCUCACGCUAUCAGAUGAGCCUAGGUCGGAUUAGCUAGUUGGUGGGGUAAAGGCCUACCAAGGCGACGAUCCGUAACUGGUCUGAGAGGAUGAUCAGUCACAUUGGAACUGAGACACGGUCCAGACUCCUACGGGACGCAGCAGUGGGGAAUAUUGGACAAUGGGCGAAAGCCUGAUCCAGCCAUGCCGCGUGUGUGAAGAAGGUCUUCGGAUUGUAAAGCACGUUAAGUUGGGAGGAAGGGCAGUAAGUUAAUACCUUGCUGUUUUGACGUUACCAACAGAAUAAGCACCGGCUAACUUCGUG